GCCUACGGGGGGCAGCAGUGGGGGAUAUUGCACAAUGGGGGAAACCCUGAUGCAGCGACGCCGCGUGUGGGAAGACGGUCCUCUGGAUUGUAAACCACUGUCCCCAGGGACGAAGAUGACGGUACCUGGGGAGGAAGCUCCGGCUAACUACGUGUCAGCAGCCGCGGUAAUACGUAGGGAGCGAGCGUUGUCCGGAAUUACUGGGUGUAAAGGGUGUGUAGGCGGGGCUGCAAGUCAGGUGUGAAAAUUAUGGGCUCAACCCAUAAACUGCGU
rnacentral:rRNA from 1 species